GGAGGAAGUGCUGUUGGGGGGAGAGCAAGAGGGUGUGUGUCUGGACCUGCAGAGAGAAGGGCUGCAGCAAGCAGGCCCUCACAGAGUGAAGCAGCCAAGAACCUGCCUGAAGCCUGGGAGGGAGAGAGCAGCCGAUUGGGGACACCGCAGGAGAGGAGCCAGGAGGAGCCCGAGAAGGACAAGCUGGAACUGGACCCAUAUCACUGCUGCCCAGAGCUGCAUGGGGCUGUGCAGAGAAUGCAAGUGACAAGGAGAGAGAGGGUGUGUCUGCCCCUUCCUUUUAUAGUCCCCUGCCCCUUUUGAGAAGCAUCUCCAUCUGGGAGCAAGGUGACAGUCUGACUGUGUGGAAGGACACUCCAUGCUGUUUUGCAUCUAAGAUGUAGAUUUUUGCACCUGGCUCCUUUCCUGCCAAAGAAUGGCCACUGAGCAGAAUCUGGACCUUGACUAUACCUUGACGAAGAAAUUUGGUGGAACUUGACAAAAGAUAAUUGAUUACCCCUGCUGUAGAGCCUCUGUCUCUCUGGAGUUCUGGGUAAACAGCUUUGAAGCAGUUCUUGGCCACUCU